GACGAACGCUGGCGGCGCGCCUAACACAUGCAAGUCGAACGAGCGAGCGAGCGCUUGCUUUCUUGAGCGAGUGGCUAACGGGUGGGUAACGCGUGUGGAACCUGCCUCAAAGAGGCGGACAACAGUUGGAAACGACUGCUAAUACCGCAUAUGCCCACGACCCGGCCUCGGGUUGAGGGAAAAGGAGCAAUCCGCUUUGAGAUGGCGUGGCGUCCGAUGCGCUAGUUGGUGGGGUAACGGCCGACCGAGGCUACGAACGGACGCCGGAGUGAGCGGUGGGACGCGGACAUGGGGACUGCGGCACGGCCCAGACGCGUACGGGGGGCAGCAGUGGGGAGUAUUACGCAGUGGGGGAGAGCCUGAUGCAGCGGCGCCGGGGGUAGGAAGAAGUUCCGCGGAUGGGAAACUCAUGUUGUUGGGGAAGAUGAGGACGGUACUGAAGAAGGAAGUGACGGCUAACUACGG
rnacentral:rRNA from 1 species